rnacentral:rRNA from 1 species
UACGUAGGGUGCAAGCGUUGUCCGGAAUUAUUGGGCGUAAAGAGCUCGUAGGCGGUUUGUCACGUCGGAUGUGAAACCCUGAGGCUCAACCUCAGGCCUGCAUUCGAUACGGGCAGACUAGAAUUCGGCAGGGGAGACUGGAAUUCCUGGUGUAGCGGUGAAAUGCGCAGAUAUCAGGAGGAACACCAAUUGCGAAGGCAGCUCGCUGGGACGUGACUGACGCUGAGACGCGAAAGCGUGGGGAGCAAACAGG